AACGAACGCUGGCGGCGUGCUUAACACAUGCAAGUCGAGCGGUAAGGCCCUUUCGGGGGUACACGAGCGGCGAACGGGUGAGUAACACGUGGGUGACCUGCCCUCAGCUCUGGGAUAAGCCUGGGAAACUGGGUCUAAUACUGGAUAUGACUCCACGGUGCAUGUCGUGGGGUGGAAAGCCUUGUGCGGCUGAGGAUGGGCCCGCGGCCUAUCAGCUUGUUGGUGGGGUGANGGCCUACCAAGGCGACGACGGGUAGCCGGCCUGAGAGGGCGACCGGCCACACUGGGACUGAGACACGGCCCAGACUCCUACGGGAGGCAGCAGUGGGGAAUCUUGCGCAAUGGGCGAAAGCCUGACGCAGCGACGCCGCGUGA
rnacentral:rRNA from 1 species